AUCGCUUUUACAUUCAUUCUUAUGGGGAAAAUUAAUUUGAACGUAGAAGCAAAUGGACCUACGAGCAAUUUUCAUGAACGACUUAUUUUGUGAGCAUGAGUAUAAUAAAUGUGGCUUAGACAGUGUGUAUUUUUAAGCAGUGAUAUAAGUCCCUCCUUAAAAAUGAGGUGGCAGUAUUUCUCAGCAGAAAGAGAAAGCACACUGCAGUGAGUGUGGAUCAGGACGUGGACUGCUCAACUAACAUUAUCCUACACUGGAAGUAGCAGAUCAACACAGAGAACAUGACCCAAUACAGAGAACAUGACCGACUUCUCCUCACAAAUGGAUAAUAUUGUGGAUCUUAGACACACAGAAUAGCCAGAAGAGGACUGGCUUCGAUGGGAUUUAAGUUUGUUGUACAGAUGAACUGAAGUGAAAAACACACAUGAAGCAGGGAGAUGAAACAUUAUUUUCUAGAAUUCCUAUAAACAAAGACUAAACUCACCUCAAAGAUGGUGUUAAAUCUGCAGCUUUUGCUUAUUAUUGCUGCUUCUUUUCUCCUGAAUAUUGAACUGUGUUUUUGUGUUUGCGCCCGAGCUGAAUAUGAGAUAAAUGGAGAAUGUUGUCCCAUGUGUGCACCUGGAAGCCAUGUUUAUAGGCAUUGCACUGAAUUUAUCAGCACGACCUGCAUGCCAUGUGCUUUCUCAACUUUCAUCUCUGAGCCCAAUGGUCUUCUAAAUUGUCUUAGUUGUGCUGUUUGUGAUCCUGAGCAAGGAUUAAGAGUAAAGACAACCUGUGCACGGUAUACAGAUACAGUUUGUGAGCCACUUGAGGGAUUUUACUGUGUCAGUAAUGACAAGGGCAGCUGUACACAAGCUGUCGAACACAGAAAAUGCAGCCCUGGACACUACAUAAAGCAGAAAGGAACAGCACAUAAUGAUGCAGAAUGUGGUGAAUGUAAAAAUGGUACCUACUCUGAUGGAUCACUUGACAUUUGCAAACAGCACACAAAGUGUGAAGAUUUGGGACUUAGAGAAAUAAAACCAGGCACAACGAUCUCUGAUGUUGAGUGUGGAAAUAAAAAUCAAUUGCCUCUGUUCAUAACUAUGACUGUUAUCAUAGUUUGCAUUAUUGUGGCACUAGCACUAGUAAUUCUUUUUAAAAUUAGACAUAAGAUUUGCCGACAUGAAGGUAGGAAGUCUGAAAAAGAAACAAAGGAGGACAUACAAGAUCAUGUAAGUGUAAAUAUUCAUUAUUCAUGCACUAAGAUAAACUGUAGAGUAAACAUUAAAUAAAAAUCCUACAAACUGAAUUUAUUAUUUGUUUUCCCUUCCAAGGAAACACUUACCAUGGACUAAAAAUAAGUACGGAUCAUGCUAGCCUUUUUAUACACUGCUGAAUGAAGCAUCACUGAACUAGGAUGAAUUGAUUGGCCUCACCGGGGAGCUAGAAAGUACAGUCUAGAUAAAAGUGAAGAAGUCUUUCUACAGGACUGUGAUGGACUUGGUGCAUGAGUAUGUCUGGAUAUCACUGCAUUUACCUGAAACACAGAGCUGGGAUUAUAGCCAAGGACUUCAUCACCCAGGACUGCUGCUUAGUGAUCUUUUCAGUCCUUUUUCACAAAGAUUACAACCUAAAUUAUUACUGCACUCCACAAGCAUGACUCAAGAUGCUUUGCUCAAAGAAACAAUGAAGACUGUGCUUUAAUCCUUUGUAUCCACAUCAAGAAACAGGAAUGAACUCUGAUGUUAAAUCCUGACCAUAUUUGUUGUGGAGAUACUAUUUAAAAGAACACUCAUAUAUUUAGUUUCGUUUCACUGUGUUCUGUGUACUACAUGUGUUUGGAAUGAAACUGAAGGUCUACUUAACUAGUUUGGAGUUUCCUUUGGGACCAAAGCUGUAAGGAAGAAAGAUAAAAAAGAAAGUAGAAUCAUAAAAUCAUAUAUAAAACUUUUUAUGGAAAAUUCUAACUUAAAUUAGUGAGAACUAUUUUUAAUAGCAUUUCACAUGCAAUCAUUUCAAAAUACAAUUAUAAUAAUGAUUUUAUAUAUUAUAUAGAUGCAAGCAGACUAUCAUUCUAGUAACUUAUUAAAAUUUUUCUCCUCUCAGUUCUACGGAAAUAACCAGGAAAUAUAUUAUGUCCUGUCCUGAGUUCACUGGAGGUAAAUAGAAGGCUGCACAUAGAAAAUCCCUUAUUGUCAAUUACAAUGUGAAAAUUCUAUAAAGUUUCAACACAAAAAGAUAGAUGGCUGUUGACAGACACAAAUUAGAUAUAUAUAAUAAAAAUAUUUAAAAAUUUGAUAGAGAAAGGCCUUCCUGAGAACAAUUUGCUUAAUUAGAAAAUGCAGAACCUGAAUGUUGGUCAUAAAGUGGAAACUACAAACAAAUUUUAAACACAUGAUGUUCCAUUGGAAAAUUUUGAAGGGUUUUGUAGCUGGUGACUCCAGGCUUAAACUGUUGACCAAACAUACUUUAUAUUGAGACUUAUAAUUUUAAAGUCCAUAUGAAAAUCUGAAUAUUUAAGUCUUUACUAGAAUAUAUAAUAAUGGAUUGAGAUUUAUCUUUAAAUGCCACUUGUUAAGAAAAAAACAACGCUUUUGUGUUUGCAUACAUUUUUUAAAAAUAAAAAUAAAACUAUAAUAUUAAAACAAAACUUAAUGUAAACUCUCAAAAUUAACAAAUGAAAUUUAAUAUACCCCAAACACAUGCUACUUAUAAUAUAAAUUGUACAUAUAAAGUUGAGGUAACAUAUUUGUUAGCUCCUGUGCUCAGUCUGGUCCUAUUCACCCACUUCUUCCACAGUAAGGUUUUUAAUGACAGCACUAAUGACAGUUCAAUGGUGUAUGUACAAUAAUUUGAUCCUGAACACAAACCCAAAAAGAGAUCACGGUUGAUUUUAGAAGAUCUGAAAAACAAAAAUAUAUCUUUUUGUAUAUGAACAGAGAAGAAACGGAGAGCAUUAAUGACCAUGUUAUUUGCAGUCUACAUUACAAAAUCAGAAUCAGAUCUCAUAAAUGGUCAAUAAACACCUUCCACCAGGUAGGAAAGCCCAACAAAGGCUAUUGUUCUUGUGGAAACUAAAGCAAGCUAGAUUACUACCAAAAUCCAAGUUUCUAGUGAACAUCUACUAUAGAGAGUCCAUACUCUACUGUUAUUACAUUGAGGUUUGCUAGCUGCAUUGGGGAGUUGAGCUGUAGAUAGUUAAAUCUGCACAUUGCAUUAUAGUGCCAGAGCUCUCAAACCUUUAUAUUAUUUAUGAUAACUGACUACACACAAAGACAACCAGCAUUAAAAACUUCACCAACCAAGAAUGCACAAUGUCCCUUUGCCAUCUGGAAAGAGAUGCCACCCCCUGCCCCCUAGUCCCUAGUGUCUGUUACAUUUCAUUAAUCGAAUGCAAAUUUAAUCAAGUGCAAUAUUUCUUCUUAAUUAUAAGAGUAAUGUAUGUGUUCUGUAUUGCUUUUUUAAGAUAAAUUAAACUUGUAUUAAAUCAAAUAUCGCUGUUUAUUUAUUUAUUUAUUUUUGUCAAAGUGGUAUAUUGUAAAAUAAGUAUUUAUUUGUGUGAGAGAAAAAUAGUUACUGAAUUUUCAAUGAUGAAUAUUAAUAUGAAUUACCAGUACACUUGCACUGUUAGGAAGAUUUUCCCCUCAGGUCCUUAUGCUCUCUCUUUACCACACUGUAGGGGCCUCG